UGGGGAAUUUUGGACAAUGGGCGCAAGCCUGAUCCAGCCAUGCCGCGUGCAGGAUGAAGGCCCUCGGGUUGUAAACUGCUUUUGUACGGAACGAAAAGCCUCUUUCUAAUAAAGAGGGGUGAUGACGGUACCGUAAGAAUAAGCACCGGCUAACUACGUGCCAGCAGCCGCGGUAAUACGUAGGGUGCGAGCGUUAAUCGGAAUUACUGGGCGUAAAGCGUGCGCAGGCGGUCUUGCAGGACAGUGGUGAAAUCCCCGGGCUCAACCUGGGAACUGCCAUUGUGACUGCAAGGCUGGAGUACGGCAGAGGGGGAUGGAAUUCCGCGUGUAGCAGUGAAAUGCGUAGAUAUGCGGAGGAACACCGAUGGCGAAGGCAGUCCCCUGGGCCUGUACUGACGCUCAUGCACGAAAGCGUGGGGAGCAAACA
rnacentral:rRNA from 1 species